CCCCACAUGGUGAGACCAGCAACGAUACCGAACCCUCCCCACGCGAGAACGUCCAUGGGGAUCACGAUAUCUCCUCCUCCUCCCGCAGCUCCUCUUUGGAGGAUGCUCAACGCGGCGGCUAAAGGUCCGAUGGCGUUGGAGACGUCGCUGCCUCCGUGAGCGAAGGACAUGAAGCAGGCAGAGAGGACUUGCAUGUAGCCGAAGACUCCGUAGACUAUCUCGAGCUGAGUGUCUGUAGGACCUGCGAUCUCGGAGAGGAAACCAAUGCUUUUGGGCUGGUUCUGCGGUGUGUCUUGUGGUUUGGUUUUGGCUAGAAGGUGGCCGAGCUUGUCCCGGAUGAUUCUGUCGAAGAUUAUGGCUCCUGCUGCUCCACAGGCUAAGGCUUGGGAUAGAGCUAUGGGGAAGAUCUUGCUCAGAGGAAACGCGGCGAAAGAAAUGCUGGCGACGCCUAUGAACACGGCGACAGGAGCUGCUGUUGCCGCCGCUUGUCCCGGGUUUGGUGCACUGUAAACAAACUGCAAAGGACAGAAGCUUAAGCAUGUAAAAAAGAGAAUGGCUCGAAAGGAACAGACCGCUCUGAUACCUUAUAGAAUAGAAGGCAUGUAUUAUAGUUACAAAAUAUAUAGUGAUUAAAUAAUACCAAUCUAUUCUUUACAUAUAUACUCCCUCCAUUUCAAUAUAGAUGAUGUUUUAGAGGAAGUAUUUUGUUUUAAUUUACAUGAAGUUUUGAGGUUUAAGAUUAAUUUUAACUUUAGUGAAAACUGUUUAACCAAUUAGAUUUUACAGUUUUUUUUUAUAAUUGGUUAAAUAAUUUUAAAAUUAUAUUUUUACAAAUAUUUUUUUUUUAAAUGCAAGUGUCUUAAUCUUUGUAAACAAAAGUAAAACAUCAAGCAAGUAUUAUGAAACGGAAGGAGUAUACUCUACUCAAAGUUUGGUUGUUGAGAUUGAUUUGUUUUGUUUUACUUACUCUUCUGAUGCAUUUGUAAACAAGAAAGGAGACUAAAGCUCCCAUUAGAGGAGAGAUGACCCAAGAUGAAGCCACUUUAGCUAAAGAACUCCAGAAAACCGCACCAGCUCCACCGUAGACCAGUCCAAACCCAACCAUUGAUCCGACGAUACAGUGAGUUGUAGAUACUGGCCAUCCAAAGUAAGAAGCCACCUGUGAAAAUUCACGAUUACACAAUCGUUUUCAGCAUUAGGUUCUCUACUUAUAUCGUUCAGCAUAGUUGUUUUAAGACACUGCUUCUGUACUUGUAUCGUUUGUCAUUGCCAUCCUCAAAUGUAUUAAACAAUCUUCUAAUAAUCGGUCUAAACGUCUAGACGGCAAAUCGGUCAUAAGGAAACGAUUUAUCUAAACUGAUUUUUUUUGCCUAAGCACUAAUCUCAUAUAAAGUGUAGAAUUACCGCCUAUUGAUUUCUUGAACAUUGGUAUUAAAUUUACUAAAUAUUUUUCUAGAAACUAGUGAGGAAGAAGCAAAAGAUAAGAUGAGAACCUGUAACCAAGUUCCAGCUGCAGCCAAGGAAGAGAGGAGACCAGCAAAGAGCAACAUAUCUUUCCCUUGGAACACAUUAGCCAUGAGGAUCCCUUUCUGCAUCGUGCUAGUCACGUGAGUUCCCAUCAAAAGAGCACCUGAGAACUCAAGAACCGCAGCAGUAAUCACAGCUUGACGGAUGGUAAGGGCUCCGGAACCAACAGAAGUCCCCAUGGCAUUGGCCACAUCAUUAGCUCCGAUGUUCCACGCCAUGUAGAAACCGAAGAGUAGUGUGGCGUAAGAGAGGAGUUUGGUCUUGAGAGCGAGUCCUUGUCCCAGGGAUUUCAUGAAGAGUGGCAAGGAGAGAGCAGAGAAGGCGAUGACUAUGGUGAUUGCCCUCGCUGUCUUGGAUGAAAUGUGAAAGGCAUUAGCCAUUCCAGAGAAGUCUCCAACAGCUUCUGCGUUACCUUUUUCAUCAGAGUCGUGAGAGUUCUGUAUCUGUUGAUCCCCAUCUCCUUCAGCAUAAGAGGAGAAGCUAGCUAAAGGGUGGACGAGUUUGAGAGGAAGAGAGGUGUGUUUCUGUGGAGAAAGGAAUAGGGCACUGUUCUUCUUGAAGAGAGGAGAAUCCUUGGGAGAGAAGCAACCGAGAGCUGAUCUAGGUACGCAGAGGUGAGAAGUCUUGAGUAGAAGAGAGUGGUUCCUAACCGAAGAGAGUCCAUAAGGAAGAGUCAUGCCUGGGAAGAGGAUGUGUGGGAAUCAAGAAGAGAAAAUGAGAUAUGAGAAUCUACAAAGAUUGGGAUAUGGUUAUGGAUGAUGAAGAAGAUGAUGGUGAUGUUGAGGAUGAUGAAAAUGGUGUUGCAUAAUGGGAAUUUGAUUUCAGGAGACUAGAGAGAAGGUUGGUUGGUAGUGGUGGCGGCCAGGGAACGUGAGGUGGAGGUGAGAGGAUUGAGUUUGGAUGAUUCUUUGUGUUAGCGUCAAGCGUUAUGAAUUUGUGUGGUUCUUGUUAAGUGAGAGGGAGGCUCUUUAGUUAGGCUUCAGGACAUCACAAAUGCCCACUAAAAGUCUAAAAGGAUGUAAAAAAAGUUUGGAAUUUUUGUUCUUUGGACGUAGUAAUGAGUUGCUCAAAAAAAAAAGGAUGUAGUAAUGAAAGAAUAGAAUUAGGUGGCAUUUCUUAUUAGAUUUUAUAUAAACGUGGCACAUUUUUUUUUUACAAAUGCCUACCAUCUUGUUUUUUUUUUUUUUGAUCAGCUCCUACCAUCUUGUUUGACCUUGAAAAUAAAGAGUUUCAGAUUUUAGUUUAGUGAUGUACUUAUACAAAAAGACUAGGAUAAGACCCGCGCCUUGCGCAGGAUUAAGUUAUUAUUUUUAUUAUAUUUUGGAGAAUGAAACAAUAGUUUGACUUCAUUUGGAUUACGGAUGUUCAAUCCGGAUAUCGGGUUGGUUUCGGUUCGGUUCGGUUUUUUUCGGUAUUUGGUUAGUAAAAUAUAACUACUAUUCUAAAUCCAUAUUUACUUUGACUUUAAUCUUUCACAUACUUUUGAAAGAUUUCAACUGGAUGACUAAAUUGAUCAGCCAAUCUUGUUGCUUUAAAUCAUUAGUGUUUAUAUAUAUAUAUAUUAUUUAGUUUGAAUAUUUAUUAAAUAAAAAUUCAUAUGCGUUAUAUUUUAUGAUCAUUUGUAACUUAUUAUAACAAAAAAAUAAUCUAUUGAUCACAAAAUUUUCNNNNNNNNNNNNNNNNNNNNNNNNNNNNNNNNNNNNNNNNNNNNNNNNNNNNNNNNNNNNNNNNNNNNNNNNNNNNNNNNNNNNNNNNNNNNNNNNNNAAAAAAAAAAAAAAACAUAAACUCACAAGACAAACGACAAGAGCUUGGUGAAAACCCAAGUGUAGAUUACAGCAAGUGUACCUCCGACAGGAAUCGUAACGAGCCACGAAGCAACGAUCUCUUUAACCGUCUCCGCCCUCACGCUGUUAAGCCCCCUAGCAAAACCAACUCCCAUCACAGCUCCAACGAGCGUAUGAGUCGCCGAUAUCGGAAGCCCUAACUUGGAAGCAAACAAAACCACCGACGCCGCCGCGAACUCCGCAGCAAACCCUCUCGUCGGUGUAAGCUCAGUGAUCUUCUUCCCUAUCGUUGCAAUCACUCUGUAUCCCCACAUGGUGAGACCAGCAACGAUACCGAACCCUCCCCACGCGAGAACGUCCAUGGGGAUCACGAUAUCUCCUCCUCCUCCCGCAGCUCCUCUUUGGAGGAUGCUCAACGCGGCGGCUAAAGGUCCGAUGGCGUUGGAGACGUCGCUGCCUCCGUGAGCGAAGGACAUGAAGCAGGCGGAGAGGACUUGCAUGUAGCCGAAGACUCCGUAGACUAUCUCGAGUUGAGUAUCUGUAGGACCUGCGAUCUCGGAGAGAAAACCGAUGCUUUUGGGCUGGUUCUGCGGUGUGUCUUGUGGUUUGGUUUUGGCGAGAAG
rnacentral:lncRNA from 1 species